rnacentral:lncRNA from 1 species
GAAGAAGUUGGGCAGUUGCUUCAUCUGUGCUGGUGAAGGAAUCCGAUGUACCAUUGGCGUUGGUUCCUGAGCCAGUUUUGGCAUUGUCGGCCCCGACAAUGCUCCCUGAGGUGCCGUCCGUUGAAGAUGGGGCAGCAGGAGAAGAUGGGGUUGCAGCAAUACCAUCGGUAGCUCUACUAGCAGAAGUUCGGACCGUGGUGGAAGUCGCAGUCGAGCCUGAACAAUCUACAGA